UCUUAUAAUAAGGCUCAUCGUUUUGAAGUCACGAAGGAGAGUGAGCUAAAUAUAUAUGUUUUAUAGAGCGCUGUGCGUUGCAAAGCAGAAGAUAAUGUAUAUUUAGGGGUGAUAGGCCUUUCAAAUUCUCUGAUAGCUUGUUAUGUGUUAAAAAUAUUUAGUAUUUAAUCAAACUUAAAAAGCUAAGCUUUUAAGUUAUCAUAAGGUUAGAUAUAGUGUUUGUAAUAUAGUUUAAUAGCUUGUUAUAUAGAAUAAAAAUAUAACUUUUUAAUUAUUAUGGUUAGUAGCACAUUUUUUAAUYUAAUGAGCAAGUAGAAAAUGUAAGAAUAAGUAGUCACGUUAAAUAUAGCCAAGGAACUCGGCAAAGUAACUAUUCAACUGUUUAUCAAAAACAUAGCUAUAUGAUAUAUUAUAUAGUUGUUUCUGCUCCAUGACCCUAUAAAUAGCCGCAGUACUCUGACUGUGCUAAGGUAGCAUAAUCAAUUGGCCUUUAAUUGAGGUCUAGGAUGAAUGAAAGAAUGGGUAGUAUCUGUCUGGUUAUAUUUUUACAAAAUUUGUUAGUAAGUGCAAAUACUUACGUUAUCCUAAAAGACGAGAAGACCCUAGAAACUUAUUUUAUUUUGCUGGGGCGGCAGAAUUACAUAAAACUAAUUUUUUUACUUGACUAAAUUGAGCUAGAACAAGUUACUCUAGGGAUAACAGCAUAAUUUAAAUAGUUUGUGACCUCGAUGUUGGAUUAGGUAUAACAUUUUUAAGAGAAAAAUGUUAUUUGCUCUGUUCGAGCAGUUUUACCUACAU
rnacentral:rRNA from 1 species